rnacentral:rRNA from 1 species
CAACCUGCCCAUCACUUGGGGAUAACCUUGCGAAAGUAAGACUAAUACCCAAUGACAUCCAUAGAAGACAUCUGAAAUGGAUUAAAGAUUUAUCGGUGAUGGAUGGGGAUGCGUCUGAUUAGCUUGUUGGCGGGGUAACGGCCCACCAAGGCGACGAUCAGUAGGGGUUCUGAGAGGAAGGUCCCCCACAUUGGAACUGAGACACGGUCCAAACUCCUACGGGAGGCAGCAGUGAGGAAUAUUGGUCAAUGGGCGAGAGCCUGAACCAGCCAAGUAGCGUGCAGGAUGACGGCCCUAUGGGUUGUAAACUGCUUUUAUAAGGGAAUAAAGUGAGUCUCGUGAGACUUUUUGCAUGUACCUUAUGAAUAAGGACCGGCUAAUUCCGUGCCAGCAGCCGCGGUAAUACGGAAGGUCCGGGCGUUAUCCGGAUUUAUUGGGUUUAAAGGGAGCGUAGGCCGGAGAUUAAGCGUGUUGUGAAAUGUAGUGGCUCAACCUCUGCACUGCAGCGCGAACUGGUCUUCUUGAGUACGCACAACGUGGGCGGAAUUCGUGGUGUAGCGGUGAAAUGCUUAGAUAUCACGAAGAACUCCGAUUG